rnacentral:rRNA from 1 species
UUCAGAGGUCUCAAGCGUUGUUCGGAUUCAUUGGGCGUAAAGGGUGCGUAGGCGGCGCGGUAAGUCGGGUGUGAAAUCUCGGAGCUUAACUCCGAAACUGCAUUCGAUACUGCCGUGCUUGAGGACUGGAGAGGAGACUGGAAUUUACGGUGUAGCGGUGAAAUGCGUAGAUAUCGUAAGGAAGACCAGUGGCGAAGGCGGGUCUCUGGACAGUUCCUGACGCUGAGGCACGAAGGUCAGGGGAGCAAACGGG